rnacentral:rRNA from 1 species
AACGAACGCUGGCGGCAUGCCUAACACAUGCAAGUCGAACGAGACCUUCGGGUCUAGUGGCGCACGGGUGCGUAACGCGUGGGAACCUGCCCUUAGGUUCGGAAUACCUCCCCGAAAGGGGUGCUAAUACCGGAUAAUGUCUUCGGACCAAAGAUUUAUCGCCUUUGGAUGGGCCCGCGUUGGAUUAGCUCGUUGGUAGGGUAAAAGCCUACCAAGGCGACGAUCCAUAGCUGGUCUGAGAGGAUGAUCAGCCACACUGGGACUGAGACACGGCCCAGACUCUUACGGGAUGCAGCAGUGCGUAAUGUUGGACAAUGGGCGAAGGGCUGAUCCAGCACUGCCGCGUGAGUGCUGAAGGCCUGAGGGUUGUAAAGCUCUUUUACCCGGGCUGAUAAUGACAGUACCGGGAGAAUAAGCUCCGGCUAACUCCGUG